rnacentral:rRNA from 1 species
CUGACGUUAGCGGCGGACGGGUGAGUAACACGUGGGUAACCUACCUAUAAGACUGGGAUAACUCCGGGAAACCGGGGCUAAUACCGGAUAANACAUGAAACCGCAUGGUUUCAUGAUGAAAGACGGUUUUGCUGUCACUUAUAGAUGGACCCGCGGCGUAUUAGCUAGUUGGUAAGGUAACGGCUUACCAAGGCAACGAUACGUAGCCGACCUGAGAGGGUGAUCGGCCACACUGGAACUGAGACACGGUCCAGACUCCUACGGGAGGCAGCAGA